CAGGCCACGAAUAUAGGACUGCAACAGGACUAUUGUCUUGUGCCAAGUGCCAAGAGAUUUUAUUCUCCUAUAUUCUUUCCUGACGAGGAAUCUAUCAAAGAAAGUGAUGGUCUUCUUCUCUUCUUGCAACUCAGUUUCUUGGAAACAAUAAGUUGAAUGGCGCUCUCUCUGAAUCGAAAAGCUCAUCUCUUCUCAAUGUAUGAGUUAAAUGCCUCACUAAGCUGCACAUGAGUUAAAUGCAGACGAGUAGACCACCUACCAGAUUUGCAGCAAAGGUUUUUGUUCUUUUUUCUGCAAUAUCUUGUUCCUCAUUGAGAAUGAAGACUAGUUGCUCUUGUAAUAUGCAGCAUAAGUCUAUAUGGGGG